UCCCCUGUAGCUCAGUUGGUAGAGCAUGGUGUUUGCAACACCAGGGUUGUGGGUUCGUUUCCCACGGGGGGCC
rnacentral:tRNA from 1 species